CAAUAGCGUAUAUUAAAGUUGUUGCGGUUAAAAAGCUCGUAGUUGGAUUUCUGCCGAGGACGACCGGUCCGCCCUCUGGGUGAGUAUCUGGCUCGGCCUGGGCAUCUUCUUGGAGAACGUAACUGCACUUGACUGUGUGGUGCGGUAUCCAGGACUUUUACUUUGAGGAAAUUAGAGUGUUUCAAGCAGGCACACGCCUUGAAUACAUUAGCAUGGAAUAAUAAUAUAGGACCUCGGUUCUAUUUCGUUGGUCUCGGGACGGGAGUAAUGAUUAAGAGGAACAGUUGGGGCAUUCGGUAUUCAUUGUUCAUGAGGUGAAAUUGCUUGGAAUU
rnacentral:rRNA from 1 species